CUACGAGGCGCACCAGUGAGGAAUUUUGCGCAAUGGGCGAAAGCCUGACGCAGCAACGCCGCGUGAGUGAUGAAGGCUUUCGGGUCGUAAAGCUCUGUCAAGUGGGAAGAACCUGUAAAGUGCCAAUACCACUUUGCACUGACGGUACCACUGAAGGAAGCACCGGCUAACUCCGUGCCAGCAGCCGCGGUAAUACGGGGGGUGCAAGCGUUACUCGGAAUCAUGGGGCGUAAAGGGCGCGCAGGCGGCCUAGUAAGUCAGAUGUGAAAGCCCGGGGCUCAACCCCGGAAGUGCAUUUGAUACUGUUGGGCUUGAGUAUGGGAGAGGAAAGUGGAAUUCCUGGUGUAGAGGUGAAACUCGUAGAUAUCAGGAGGAACACCUGUGGCGAAGGCGACUUUCUGGACCAAUACUGACGCUGAGGCGCGAAGGCGUGGGUAGCAAACAGGAUUAGAUACCCGCGUAGUC
rnacentral:rRNA from 1 species